rnacentral:rRNA from 1 species
CUUUCAACAACGGAUCUCUUGGUUCUGGCAUCGAUGAAGAACGCAGCGAAAUGCGAUAAGUAAUGUGAAUUGCAGAAUUCAGUGAAUCAUCGAAUCUUUGAACGCACAUUGCACCCUCUGGUAUUCCGGGGGGUAUGCCUGUUCGAGCGUCAUUA